rnacentral:antisense_RNA from 16 species
UAUAAUGGUGAGGCGUAACGAGGGAGCCUCUGCGCUCGCCGGGUUCUCUGACACCGGUCUACUAACCUCGAUACGUCUCUCCACCCCG